rfam:Triticum aestivum genome assembly, contig: Triticum_aestivum_CS42_TGACv1_scaffold_002902_1AL
CAAAUACUCCCUUCGUUCCAUAUUACUCGUUGCAGAAAUGGAUGUAUCUAGAACUAAAAUACAUCUAGAUACAUCCAUUUCUACGACGAGUAAUUCGGAACGGAGGGAGUAGAUG